CGGCGCUCACAGAGAUCCAGGCUUCCUGUGUAUGAAUGUGUGCCAUGAAUUUAGACCUAUUUCUCGCCUUCCGGGCUCUCUAUUCCUCAUCCUCCAUCCAAGUGGCCAUCUUGUGCAUGCAUCCUCUGCAAUUCGAGGUGACCGUCUUCUCCAGCUGCCGCUGCAGAACCCCAAGUGUGGUCCCCAUGCCCCCUCACUGUACACUUCAGCAGGAAGGUGCUUCUGUGUCCCCCUGUCCUCAUCCUCCACUGCAGCUGUCCUACUUCGUCUCUUCCUCCUGGACUCA
rnacentral:lncRNA from 1 species